CCAUGGAUCCUGGGAAAAAACACAGAUGGCAUGACGUUCCUCAAACCUACUCCUUUAUAUAAUUUUAAACUACAACAACUUUAUCAGUGCAGAUUUUUAUUUCAGUUUGUAUGGUGAUUUUUUACAUUCAACAUUAUCUACCCAGUACCUGGAAGUACCUAGAUGACCUAUGGUUUCAAAUCUCCUACAAAAGAGCAGAAACCACACCACCCUUUACCUCUACCUCUGCUACCGUCCCUGCAGUGCAGUCAUACUGGACCAGUAAAGACAGGUGGGUGAAUGUUUGUACAGGAUCUUAAACACAGGAUGAAUAAUGCCAUCGACCACCUGCUAUUGGCACUCUUCGGGUUUUAAACUAGUGAGAACACUGCCUUGGUUCCCAAACAGCAGCACCAUGUAAAGCAUUUAGCCAAGCACCCAAGGAUGAGCUGUAGAAUUAUGAUCUGAAAUAAAUAACACAGUUUGUUUGUAUGGGGUAUUUGGUAUUUGUUCACAUGUAGUUGGGAAAAUAAAGCUUUUCUCUCUAAGGGAAUUGAGGCCGGGGCUUCUGCAUGAUAGGAGGAAAAUUUGUCACUAUACUAUCAAGGUAUACACAAUGUUGUGCAUCACAGCACAAUCCCACAGUAGAAAUGUGAAUCAAUAAGGUAGAAUCCACCAUCCAUCCAUCUUCACAGGUCCAUUGUUCCUUGGUGUGGAUUUUCUGUUAAAAAAUAUUUAGUAAUUUCAGAUUGAGGGUCUAAAAAAAAGUUCUGAUUUGGUUCAUUUUUUUAUUUCACAAAAUUUAUUUCCCAAAAUAGAGAUUGUCGUUUUGUUGGGCAUCCAGUAGA